UGACCACUCUUUCAGUGUUCAGGGGAGCUCCUCUGCAGGGUGGUGACUCUGAAAGUGUUCUUCUACUGCUUGCCUUACUCUUGUGCGCUGCAAAGAACUGGAAGGAACUAAACAAGAAAGCAACACUGGAGGAGGAAUUGGAAGAACAUUCAUUGUCAGAUUGAGAGCAGGCAGGUGGAGGCCUAGAGAGAGGAUUAAAUGAACUUGGCCAACAUAACAACUCUAGCGGUUUCCCCAGCUGGGGGUGGAAGCAUCUCUUAGACCCCCAGGCAUUUGAGGUGAGGAAAUUGCACCUUCAGGCUGUAGUUCGUCAGUUCUUCCUGAGUCUAUCUAAAAAAGCUUGUGGAACUUAAUUCAGAAGACAGACAGUCUAACAAUUUACCUGUGCACCAAAAAAUCAAGAGGACAGCAAUUCAGAAAAAUUUUAAGAAGAAUUUUUCUUCCCACAACUGUAAGAUAGCCAAUGUAUUUGGAAGCUUGGAGGAUCAUCGAACUCAGGACCUGGCAUUCACAAGGCAGGCACAGUGCCACUGAGCUAAAUCCCCAGUUCCAGAGCUGAAAUUCUUACAACGUGAUGGUGCAUUGCUUUCCAAUUUCCUCUUUAUAACCUCUUUCAAAAUGUUAGGAAGGAAUCGUAUCUAGGCAAUAGCACAUAAAAUCAGCUUUAAGAUGAAAAGUUUUUGUAUUUAUUGAUUCUGCAAAUGGGUAGGGAUGGUUUGUGUGUGUGUUUAACUAUUUCAGGAAAGUCAAAGUCAUAUUUUAUUCAAAUCAUAUUUUAAAUUAGAGGCCACAAACUGGCAGCCCAUGAGUAGAACUUGACUUACAGAUUACUUUUGUCUUCUCCCCCGUGCCCGUGUACUUUCUUCUAUCAUUGAAACUACAAUUUUUAAUUUUGAAAAUUUAAACAAAACAUCGAUAUAUGCUUUACCUAGACUCACUAAUUUUUACAUAUUUCAGCAUGCUUUGUCGUUUUAUCUUACACACCCCCACAGGUUUUAACAAUAGAUUUUAUACAUUAUUUCCCUUUACACCAUAGCUCUUCAAAGGUCACAGCUGGUCUGAGAGAUACAAAUUCUUCUUACAUGUUAUUAAGGGGAGACUCCUGACCAUAAGCUCCACAGGGUUACUUUUUCAAUAUGUAUUUUCUCAAAACAAUGAUAACCCCAUAAAUUCAGUAUAAUAUUCAUUUUAGAUUUUUUUUUUUUUGGUACUGGGGAUCGAA